rnacentral:rRNA from 2 species
UGGGGAAUAUUGGACAAUGGGCGAAAGCCUGAUCCAGCCAUGCCGCGUGAGUGAUGAAGGCCCUAGGGUUGUAAAGCUCUUUCAACGGUGAAGAUAAUGACGGUAACCGUAGAAGAAGCCCCGGCUAACUUCGUGCCAGCAGCCGCGGUAAUACGAAGGGGGCUAGCGUUGUUCGGAAUUACUGGGCGUAAAGCGCACGUAGGCGGAUAUUUAAGUCAGGGGUGAAAUCCCGGGGCUCAACCCCGGAACUGCCUUUGAUACUGGGUAUCUAGAGUCCGGAAGAGGUGAGUGGAAUUCCGAGUGUAGAGGUGAAAUUCGUAGAUAUUCGGAGGAACACCAGUGGCGAAGGCGGCUCACUGGUCCGGUACUGACGCUGAGGUGCGAAAGCGUGGGGAGCAAACA